AUAUUUAGAGAGCUACUAAAUCCGCUCCAUUGGGAACGGAACGGGGGCGAAAACUUGCCCGGUCGGAACAAAUUAUCAAUAUACGACGGGUCAUUAUAAUUUGAACUAAUAUAGGAGCGGUGUGUAUAAUAUGGAUAAACCUUAAGGAUCAGUGUAUUUUUUUCUAAAAUAUUCCCCUUACAGGUUACAACGGGUUGAGAUUCAGACCAUUUCAUCCAAAUCCUCUAUACAAAAUUACCUGACAGUCCCGACCUCCAAUCCGAUCAGAUGGAGUUCUGGUUCCAUGAACAUGGAGGAGAGCAGCUCCUCAAUAACAUCUAUGGCGAUACUGAACGGUUUCCCGCCGCCUUCGACCAUGGCUUUGGUGGUGGGUGUCUCCGCCGCAGAGGUUGGAAUGCAAGGAUUCUGAAGGAAUAGGUUCAUGGAUGGGAGUCAAGAACAUGGCUAGAUAUUUUUGGCAGAGCAGACUAAGGAGAGGUUUAAGCAGGUUGCCUAGUGAAGUCUUAUGGCUGUAAGCGUUGUGCAUUGAUGGCAAUACUUAAAGAAAGAAUUGAAGGGGGAAAAAAAGAAAGAAUAUAUAUAUAUAUAUAUAUAUAUAUAUAUAUAUAUAUAUAUAUAUAUAUCUAUUAUCUUGACAUGGUUCGUGCAAUAUGAAGGUUUUACAUUUCCUUAUUGUGAGUACAUUUUACAUGUAAUUCGGUGGGUCUCUACUAAUAGUGGAGAUACAUCUAAUUAAUGGAUUGAUAAAAGUUCUAACCAUAUGCAAGCUUGGGUGAGAAAACUGAAGAACUGGUUUUCUCACUAAAUGGAUAUGAUGGCUCGAUUAUUGGUGGGGAAUUUUUUUUAUGUGAAUAAGUUUGUAUUUUAAAAAAAAUUAUUGCUCGUCUCUUAAAGGCAUAGGGCAACCCUGAUAGAACCCUUAUUACUAUAUAUUCGAAAAUGGAUAUUGUCAAAAAUGAUAAACAACAAAAUAUAAAAAUAGAUACUUAAUAACAUAAUUCCUAAAAUUAGAAGAAAAAACCCUAAAAAAUAAAUAAACAUUUACUUCUACAAUUGAGAUAGGUACAUGUAUGAUGCCAUGGCAUAUGACUAUGAACUCCCUCCUGAUCUAAAUCAAUUCUACCGGUGGAGAAGAACUUGUCCCGUGAUCGUGAGAGUUAUAGUGGUAGUAUAGCUUUGAAGGAUCAAGAUCAAUGCAUUGGUACACUGUAGUCUUUAUAUGACUCAUCUUACAAAUAUACUUGCCUCUACUUUUAAAACAGAUUAAUGAUUUCUAACAGGCUUCCUCACAAAGAUGUAGAAUAUCCCUUCCUCAUCUUGGAGGGAGACAAACUGGAGACUACUUUUCACACAAACUAUGAUAGAACAAAUUUUGAUCUGUUUUGAGGAGUAUAAAUGUUUAGGUUUGGUGUUUGUUACACCCUCCAUCAUUAAGAUGAAAAUUUUAGUUACAUAGUAAUCCAUUCCUCAAGAAAGAAACAUCUGCCAAAAGUGACUUAACCCUCUUGAGAUGUUUUAAUGAAUUCGUUUCCAAUGAUUAAAGACUGUACUUACAGUAUAUCUGUGCUAGGUGAAGAUCAUGAUAGUUAAUUUAGUUUAUUGUAAACUGAAUUCAGUAUUUUAUUGAAUUAGUGAUAAUAAACAUGCAACUUUGUUCCCUAUCCAAUUUGUUUUGCAGUCUUUCUUGUGGACAUAAAAUGAGAUAAAAUUGAUUAAAAUGGUUUGGACAUGUAAGAAGAUCAUUAAGUGUGACAGUGACAUGGUUCACAUUGAAGGUAAUGCUAGAUGUAAGGAAAGACCAAAAUUAAUAUAGCUAGAGUUAGUAAAGAAAAAUAUGAUUACACGUGGUUUGACCUAGGCUAUGACCUUAAAUAAAGUAAAAUGUAAAAAUAGGAUUCUUGUAAGCAACCCCAACUAGUUGAGAGAAGACUUCGUUUGUUAUUUGUUGUAUUCUUUCUUGUGUUUGAUACUGAUAUAUGUUGUGUUUGUGGUCCAACUUGUACUUUCAUUUCAAUAUAUUCACGAUAGCUUUAGUACUCCAUUAUGUUGCUGAGUUCUACAUAAAAGAAUGCUUUCUGGUUUAAGACUAGUAUGUGCUCUCUGAUGGAAAGUAGGUCCAUGCAAUCAAGUAAGUACAAGUCUGCAGAAGUGCAAGUCUGUAGAUUCUUUUGAUUGUAUUAUAUAUAAGCUACAUUAUCAAAGAAUUUAUAUAACGUGUUUACGGGCACACAAUUGAACUUAGCUUCCAUUUGAAUCAUUUCUCUCUCUCUCUCUCUCUCUCUCUCUCUCUCUCUCUCUCUCUCUAGGUGUGUGAGGAUUGCUUUCUAGAAAAUAGACUUUGUGUGAUAGUCAUCUCAUGAUCAUAAUGGGAAAAUACUUCAAUACUUGUUAUGAAUACAUAAAUAAAGAAAUAUAUAAUGAGACCUACCCAAAGUGAUAAUAAGAAAGGGAGUAGUUUUAUUCACUGAAAGAGAUAUAUACCCAAUACAGUAUUCCACUACACAUAUUUAUAGAUACAUUGCCGCAUUACACUCAUCAAUUACAUGACUCAACCAAUUACUAGGUCACAUGUCACCAAACCAAUUACCUGCUUACAAAUAAUAAGUCCAACAUAGCAUAUAUGCAUUACUAAGACUAGUCACACGGUCCUUCAGCAUUCACACCAUUCACAACCCUGGGUACUCACCGCCUCAAUUGCUUAUACUCAUUGGAUUUCGGCACCUUCAUCUUGCUCCAAUCAGGUGGUUAAACAUCACUCCACCAAUCAGGUGGUUAAACAUCACCGCCUCCAAUGCUUGUAUAUGCAUUAGUAUACUAAUUACACAAGUGCACAUCAUAAUACCAAUUGCAUCAAUACACAUAUUGUAAAGUGAUGGGUGGUGGACCUGUGAUGGUUUUGCACUUUUUCAUUUUUCUGGAUAUUUUGGCAUUUAUGUAUUUUUAUUUUUUGACGGGACCAUGAUUAUUUUGUGGGAUACCCCUCGGAUCCGAGACACGGGUUGAUCAGGCCCAAGCCCAAACCCGAGGGAAAUAUCAAACAAUUAAUAUGUAAUACGAACACAGAUGACAAAAUGAAUUUGAUAAAUAAAGUUUAAGCUGAAAGAAAACAAAAUAUAAAAACCUUUAAUAUUAAAUAUACUUAAAUCUCAAUAAUUCAAAACCUCCAUAAGUUAACAACUCGGGAAUUCAUCUCCAGUGGACCCCUAAAAACCAAACUAAAAUGAAAGUAAACUGAAGAUAAAAUCCAAAUCAAAUAUCUGGAAAGAAGUCCUACAUCGUCGGUAGAAUGGAAGAUCUUCUCUGCCCAGCACGAACAAGCUCAAGCCUGGAACUGACGAACACCUGGAAAAUAGGAGUGGGUCAGGCCCACGAACAAGUUCUAACCCACUACAAUCCAAGCAGAGACUCGAUACGCAUA